AUCUAUAUAGAGAAAAUCGUUUCUUAUUUUAGAUACUUCGUUCCGUACGUUCAUAUAGGAAAGUUUGUGGCUAUGACGUUCAAAGAUGCCGACAGCAAACUACCAGUUAUGUGUAUUGGUAUUACUUCCGGUAUUGGCCGUUUAAUUUUUGGCUACAUCGCUGAUUUGCCGAAAGUGAAUCGCAUAUUCUUGCAGCAGUUAAAUAUGUCUACCCGACGGCCAACUUAACAAGAGUUGGAUAAUACCAACAAGUACUAGAUGUAUUUCGGACAAAUUUUUGAUAAAAUAGACAUAACUAGAUAGAUUUUGUACAUCUAAACAUUCACACAAGAUAUAGUUCGGAAUUAGUAUAAAAUGUCUAGUACGCCGUCUAAAUUUUGUCAGAAGUUAUCGCAAAAAUACUGCGUCGAGAUUGUCAAGACUAGUAUAGAUUAUUCAAUAUAUUUGGAUAAACAACAAUAGUUAAGGUCAACUUAUAGUAGCUAACAAUAAUGAACGAGAAAUAAAUGCUAAUUAGUUGACAUUCCGUUUAUUAGACAAAUGACGUUUCGACCCUUGAUUUAGGCAUAUCGAACUACAUAACAGAUUAAUAAGUUCGGACUAACAAAAUAUGAAGUACAUUAUGUCAAAAGUUAAUGAAUAAAUUAUAAAUUAAAAGAUGGUCAAGUAAUACAAUAUGUCAAAAAACAUGAUUAAAAUCAUGUCAGGCAUGCACGAAGGUAAGAAAUGGACUCAAAUUUGUCCAUUUCGUUGGUCCGAGCUUAUUAAGCUGUUAUGUUGUUGUGCAUAAUUUGUAAUGAAAACCUGAAGAGGAUCUAAAUCAAGGCUCCAAAUUUUGUUUGUCUAAUAAACGGAAUGUGCCAAAAUGUCGACUAAUUAGUAUUCAUUUCUCGUUAUUUGGAUAAAAUCCAUCUAGAUUUAGUCCAAGAGUUAUCUAGAAAAAUAUAAUUGUUUCUCCUUUGACUGCAA